GACGAACGCUGGCGGCGUGCCUAAUACAUGCAAGUAGAACGCUGAAGCUUGGUGCUUGCACCGAGCGGAUGAGUUGCGAACGGGUGAGUAACGCGUAGGUAACCUGCCUGGUAGCGGGGGAUAACUAUUGGAAACGAUAGCUAAUACCGCAUAAGAGUAGAUGUUGCAUGACAUUUGCUUAAAAGGUGCAAUUGCAUCACUACCAGAUGGACCUGCGUUGUAUUAGCUAGUUGGUGAGGUAACGGCUCACCAAGGCAACGAUACAUAGCCGACCUGAGAGGGUGAUCGGCCACACUGGGACUGAGACACGGCCCAGACUCCUACGGGAGGCAGCAGUAGGGAAUCUUCGGAAAUGGACGGAAGUCUGACCGAGCAACGCCGCGUGAGUGAAGAAGGUUUUCGGAUCGUAAAGCUCUGUUGUAAGAGAAGAACGAGUGUGAGAGUGGAAAGUUCACACUGUGACGGUAUCUUACCAGAAAGAGACGGCUAACUACGUG
rnacentral:rRNA from 1 species